rnacentral:ncRNA from 1 species
AAAUAGUCCCUUCGUACGAAAGGAGUUGGGAAUAUUGACCUAUGGUUUACCUGUUGUUUAAUAUUGUUUAUAACUAAUUUACUAUCACUAAAGUAAAAAUUAUGAAUAUACAUCUAGUCAGAUUUGAUUAUGUGUAUAUGAUUGCUUAUUAAGCAUGGCAGGAAAGCUAAGUCAAUUAUAGAUAAGUGCUGAAAGCAUUUAAGCGCGAAGCUUAU